AGCUCCUGUGGACCCAAGGACCACACAAGGGGAAGGAAAGUUCGUCAAGUUAGAGGUUUUGAGUAGAACAGUUAUCAAGAUAGAAAGAUAGAAAAUAUCCCUGUUCUCAAGGAUCUUGUAUACUAAUGAGGAGGAUAAAACAACGAAACUAAGAAAGUGGUAAGUGCUAUGAAGACAAGUAAACAGCGCAGCAUGAAGAUAACACAAUAAGUUAAAGCUACAGAAGAGAAGGAGUGCCACUCACAGUGUUAAAGGUAGACCCCACUAAGAAAAUGACAUUGAGCAGAGACUUGUAUGGUAAGAAGAAAAUGUGCAGAUGAACAUCUGAAACAGAGCGUUCUAGGCAAAGGGAAUGGCAAAGGCAAAGGCCAUUUUGAUGAGGCGGGAACAAAUGUGAUGUCUUUGAAGACUAGGAAAGGCUACUGCAGCUGAACACAGAAGACUCAGGGCGAUCCCAGCAGAGGGCUACUGGAAACCAAAGAAGAUGAGACAUGUCAAUUGCUGAUGAGAAGUCUUGAAGAUGGCAGCCUGCAUUCCCAGUGUGGGAUCCCGGUACCUGGUUCCAGAGAGAGCAGAGCAGACUUUAACUGAAAUUACUGUGUCUGUUCUAACCUAUAUGGGAGCGACCUGAAGGACUGAUGCAAGACACUCACCUCUGUUUCACCUAACUUGGAAUCAGUGAAAGCAAAAAAAUGGCAGACAUUCCUUGAAAACAUUAUAAAAUGAAUGGAAAAUCCAUAGCCACCUGGGGUAAAAGGCUAUGGCUUAGACAUACAAUAUACAGCAUAAAGCCUGACAGGAAAAGCUGGGGACAAUCUUUGGGAAAUUGGCACUUUGAAAACCACACAUGUAUACUCAGGAAUUUAGGAAGCCAUGCUUAUGCUCAGGGCAGAAUUCAUGUUCCUAAAAUGCCUUGGAAGAAGACCUUAAGCUUUCACCUUUGGCUGAUCUCUAGGCUUAGCAUAAGCAUGGAGUAAAGGCUAAGACAAAGUUAUAAAUGGCCUGGUUGAGUG
rnacentral:lncRNA from 1 species